CAGUAGCCGCGGGAAUACAGAGGGUGCAAGCGUUAAUCGGAAUUACUGGGCGUAAAGCGCGCGUAGGUGGUUUGUUAAGUUGGAUGUGAAAUCCCCGGGCUCAACCUGGGAACUGCAUCCAAAACUGGCAAGCUAGAGUAUGGUAGAGGGUGGUGGAAUUUCCUGUGUAGCGGUGAAAUGCGUAGAUAUAGGAAGGAACACCAGUGGCGAAGGCGACCACCUGGACUGAUACUGACACUGAGGUGCAAAAGCGUGGGGAGCAAACAGGAUUAGAUACCCCAGUAGUCCCUGUCUCUUAUAC
rnacentral:rRNA from 1 species